rnacentral:lncRNA from 1 species
UCCAUCUCAAAAAAAAAAAAAAAAAAAAAAAAGAUUUUCAGUGGGAGCACAGACUGCUGCUCACUCACUGAGUGGAUUUCAUUAUGUAGUCUCAGUGUUUCCCAGACUGCUUGACAAAUGAAGGAUGUACGUUAUUGCUUUUUCCUUACUUUGGCCUGAGAAUGAUGCAAAGCAGGCCUGUUGCAUUACCAAGCAUCUUGGGAUGCUGCACUGAGUAAUAGGCUUUUAGUAUGUGUUACCUUGUCAACAGCAGUGACUGCUAUGCCCAGGACAUCAGCAUUGAGUUGUUUUUGCACUUGUGGGGGUGACUUCCUAUUGUCCUACCAGAAUCAGCAAGGUAAGUUGGGAGAAAUCCUUUGUCAGCAGGAUGAGAAGCAGCAAGUGAAGGCUGGGCUCAGUGGAGGAGAACAAUUCUAGGAGCUGGCGUGGUCACAGGAAGGAUAGAGAACACGGAGGUCAGGAGGAAGCAUGAGUCAGGCUGGUGGCUGUCCGGGGUCUUCUCACAUUAGCAGCUGGAGAGCCAGGGCUGAAGGUUGAGUCGUAAGUGGCCAGCCUUGUGAAUGUGGUAUGCUAGACACCAACAGAACUUCCUGGAGCUGGGAGUUUCCUGGGGUCUUCCUGAUGUGUAAGAACUGAUGAUCAGGACCUUACAGGUUAUGUGUCUAUUUUGGUUGUCCGCUCUGACAGGGCAGUGGUGUUGUGGUAGAUACACUUUUGCUGGAGGCAUUUGCUAGGUGAGUGGGCAAGAUGUGAUUUGUAUUGGGUGUAAUACUCAAUCCAGCAGUGCUUCUCUGCUGCAGUCAAGUCCAGACUGCAAGAACCUGUUAAACGCAGGGAAUUCCAACAUAGAAUCUUAAGAAGUUUCUCUACUUUGAAUGUAUCCUCCAUGUUUUUCGUGUCGACAGAAGUAAAAGUGCAGUGAUACAUGAGUAAAUUUUCAGCUCUCUUAUCAUAGGAUUUGUUUAAUUUGGUACCAGGAUGUAAUGAACUUGAGGUGUGUGAAUGAGAAAUGGAGAUGAAGUGUUUUAUUAGUUUAGAAAAGGGAGUAAAAGGAACUCUGAGUGUAGGCACGAAGCUUUCAGCUCUGAAACUUCACCUUUUUGCCACACUAGCAGCAGAGAAAUUACGGAAAGCUGAUUGUGUUGUCUAUUUGGCAAGUCAAAGCAAGAUACAGCAAGCUAAAAGAUGAGUCUUCUAGAUUGCUUUCACCUUCUGUGACAUGAAAUUUCUAAAAAUAAGAAAUAAGGAGCCCCUGGGCAGUUGCUCUUUAGAAUUUGUGUGGACAGAUCCAGGUCAUCCUUGUUCUUCUUUGUGUUUUUUAUGAAGUGAGACUUUCUGAUUAGUGAGCCAGAAAUUUAAUCUGACAGCUUUUAAGUUUGAUGAUUUAAAAACACAAUUGGUUAUAAAAAUUUUAAAUUUAUAAUUUCCAGUAAAGUAGGAAAUGAAAAUUACCCUUUUGCUCCCAAUUUCACUUCCAGAGGUUUAUAUUUACCAUGUACUAAAACCUAUCAUUUCUCAUCUACUUUAUAAAUGUAUGAAAAACUCUGAUUUUAUACCUCUUUUGCUGUGUGUCAUUAACAUGAUUUGCUUAACUUAAUUUUAUGUCCAGUAUGGCUCUUGAGAGAGGGAACUGUGUCAGAAUGUGUGUAUCAUUUUAACCCAUUUCUGGUUGUUGUUGGAAACACAGUUAAGUUGCUUACUGGUCUUACUGCUGGUUUGCUUUAUAAGAAAAUUCAAUCCGUUUUGUCUUCAGGUAACACUACAUUUCUUUCAGUCUUCUGAGACAUUUCAUGGUUUCACUUAUCCAGGUGUUGCUAAUCUUACAUAGCAGUUUAUAUGCCUUGUCUAUUCUUCUUAACUAAGAUAACCUGUUGAAGUAUUAUUAAAUUCAACUAUAUUAUAAAAUUAUUAAACUGUAGGCGGGAUGUGUUUUCUUCCUUUCUCACGUAGCUUCCCUUCCACUCUGGAAAUGGAAGGUUUGACAUCCCAUCAUUUGAUAGGUCUGAUGACUUUCCAGUAUUUUAAGCAGUAAUAUUGAGACUAGGGCUUCUUGUUCCUCCUAUCCUUAAGUUUUGGCAUAAUGAUUUGCAUUAAUAUUACUAGCUAACUUUUAUUCAUUUUUACUCUAUGCCAGGUACAUGGCUAGAUGUGUAACCUCCUCCUGAUCCCCAGAAUUACUUUAGGAGGUGUAGGUGCUGUUAUUAAAAAUACAAAGGAAGAAAUGGAGGCAUAAGUGAAUAAAGAUAAGUAAUUUAUAAAGUAAAUACAAGUAAAAAAUGAAUAUUAAGUAAUUUGCCUGCAGCUAUUAAGAGCUAUGAAGUGAUGGGGUGGAAAUUUGUCCAGAGGCCCCCAUUCCCCUCAAAGCCCUUUUAAUCUCUGCGCUCUGCUGCUUCUUGUACCCUUUUACUCUUGUUCUUUUACUCAGCUCAUAUUAAUGAGCACUCACCAUGCCAGGCUUGGUUCUGGGUGCUGAGAAGACAGCAGCAAACAGAACUGACAAUGAAGAAAGAGUUAAACAAAUAAACAUAUACCAGAGGAGGUGAUGGCGAUCAAGAAAAUACUAGAUGAAGUGGUGAAGAGAGCCUGCGAUUGAAGAUUUUUUCAUCUCAGCUUUUUCCCCCUUACCUUGUUCUCUCUCAUGUUUCAUGAUCUGUGUCAUAGAUAUUUCUUCAUUACGAGCACUUCGCGGUGUGGCUUUUCAAUGUCUGAAGUGGAUUAAGUGGCCCACAGUCAGUUCUGUGACUUGAGUUUCAAAAGUAAAAUUACCAUCAACAAUGUGAUUCAAUUUUAUUUUCUAUACUAGCUAAAAGCAAGGAACUAUAUUAUUAACAAUCUUGGCUUUACUGUAGUUUAAGGCAGGUGAUGAUGAUGCUUAUUAGUCCACCUGAAAGAGUCCUUCCAGGUUUUUGGAAGCUUUAUUCCUGCUUAUUACCUUGCCCUUGAGAAGUCCUUCAUGGAAAGUGGAAACACUGGGUUGACUUCUUUUCCCCAUAUCCUAGUUGAAAGGGACAGCUUAUAUGUAUGUUAGACUGUCCAAAAGUGUUUGUAGAACCUCAUUUUAAAAAAUCAACUGUAUUGUACUUUUUAAAAAAUGGGAUCUUAAACUCUUUAUUAAAAAUAAUAAAUGGAAAUGUGUUAAGCAAAAA